ensembl:snRNA U6 U6 spliceosomal RNA
GUGCUUGCUUCUGCAGUGUAUAUACUAAAAUUAGAAAGAUACAGAGAUUAGCAUGGCCUCUGGCAAGGAUGACACACAAAUUGGUGAAGUGUUCCAUAUUUAA